rnacentral:rRNA from 1 species
UACGGGGGGGGCAAGCGUUGUUCGGAAUUACUGGGCGUAAAGGGCUCGUAGGUGGCCAACUAAGUCAGACGUGAAAUCCCUCGGCUUAACCGGGGAACUGCGUCUGAUACUGGAUGGCUUGAGUUCGGGAGAGGGAUGCGGAAUUCCAGGUGUAGCGGUGAAAUGCGUAGAUAUCUGGAGGAACACCGGUGGCGAAGGCGGCAUCCUGGACCAAUACUGACGAUCAGGUGCGAAAGCGUGGGGAGCAAACAGG